rnacentral:rRNA from 1 species
AUUGAACGCUGGCGGCAUGCUUUACACAUGCAAGUCGAACGGUAACAGGCUUUCGGGUGCUGACGAGUGGCGGACGGGCGAGUAAUGAAUAGGAACGUGCCCAGCGGUGGGGGUUAACGCAGCUAAAGCUGUGCUAAUACCGCAUGUGAUCGGAGGUUGAAAGCGGGGGAGCGGGCAGCAAUGUUUGGCCUCGCGCCUUUGGAGUGGCCGAUGUCAGGGUAGGUAGUGGGUGGGGUAAAGGCCUACCAAGCGGCGGAUAUGUAGCUGGUCUGAGAGGACGGUCAGCCACACUGGGGGGGAGACACGGCCCAGACUCCUACGGGAGGCAGCAGUGGGGAACUUUGGACAGUGGGCGCAAGCCUGGUCCAGUAAUGCCGCGUGCGGGAAGAAGGCCUUCGGGUUGUAAACCGCGUUUGUACGGAACGAAAAGGCUCUGCCUAAUACCUGGGGCUGAUGACGGUACCGGAAGAAUAAGCACCGGCUAACUACGUG